CGGGGAGGUAGUGACGAAAAAUAACGAUACGGGACUCAUCCGAGGCCCCGUAAUCGGAAUGAGUACACUUUAAAUCCUUUAACAAGGAUCAAUUGGAGGGCAAGUCUGGUGCCAGCAGCCGCGGUAAUUCCAGCUCCAAUAGCGUAUAUUAAAGUUGUUGCGGUUAAAAAGCUCGUAGUUGAAUCUGUGUGUCACAGUGUCGGUUCACCGCUCGCGGUGUUUAACUGGCAUUAUGUGAUACGUCCUACCGGUGGGCUUAGCCUCUUCGGAGGCGGUCCAACAGACAUCCCAUCGCGGUGCUCUUCACUGAGUGUCGAGGUGGGCCGGUACGUUUACUUUGAAUAAAUUAGAGUGCUUAAAGCAGGCUAUUUUCGCCUGAAUACUAUGUGCAUGGAAUAAUGGAAUAGGACCUCGGUUCUAUUUUGUUGGUUUCCGGAACCCCGAGGUAAUGAUUAAUAGGGACAGAUGGGGGCAUUCGUAUUGCGACGUUAGAGGUGAAAUUCUUGGAUCGUCGCAAGACGGACUAAAGCGAAAGCAUUUGCCAAAAAUGUUUUCAUUAAUCAAGAACGAAAGUUAGAGGUUCGAAGGCGAUCAGAUACCGCCCUAGUUCUAACCAUAAACGAUGCCAACCAGCGAUCCGCCGAUGUUCCUCCGAUGACUCGGCGGGCAGCUUCCGGGAAACCAAAGUUUUUGGGUUCCGGGGGAAGUAUGGUUGCAAAGCUGAAACUUAAAGGAAUUGACGGAAGGGCACCACCAGGAGUGGAGCCUGCGGCUUAAUUUGACUC
rnacentral:rRNA from 1 species